AAUCAACGCUGGCGGCGUGCUUAACACAUGCAAGUCGAACGCGAAAGGGGAGCAAUCCCUGAUUAGAGUGGCAAACGGGUGAGUAACACGUGGGUGACCUGCCUUCGAGUGGGGGAUAACCUUCCGAAAGGAGGGCUAAUACCGCAUGACAUACCGUGUUUGGAUACACGGAUAUCAAAGCCGGGGAUCGCAAGACCUGGCGCUUGGAGAGGGGCCCGCGUCCGAUUAGCUAGNGGUGAGGUAACGGCUCACCAAGGCGACGACGGGUAGCCGGCCUGAAAGGGCGAUCGGCCACGGAGGCACUGAGACACGGGCCUCACUUCUACGGAAGGCAGCAGUGGGGUAAUUUUGGACAAUGGGCGAAAGCCUGAUCCAGCAACGCUGCGGUGGGGACGAAGGUCUUCGGAUUGUAAACCCCUUUACCAGGGACGAAAUCCCGCAAGGGUCUGACGGUACCUGGUGAAUAAGCCACGGCUAACUUCGUGCCAGC
rnacentral:rRNA from 1 species